rnacentral:rRNA from 1 species
CGGACAGAAGGGAGCUUGCUCCCGGAUGUUAGCGGCGGACGGGUGAGUAACACGUGGGUAACCUGCCUGUAAGACUGGGAUAACUCCGGGAAACCGGAGCUAAUACCGGAUAGUUCCUUGAACCGCAUGGUUCAAGGAUGAAAGACGGUUUCGGCUGUCACUUACAGAUGGACCCGCGGCGCAUUAGCUAGUUGGUGAGGUAACGGCUCACCAAGGCGACGAUGCGUAGCCGACCUGAGAGGGUGAUCGGCCACACUGGGACUGAGACACGGCCCAGACUCCUACGGGAGGCAGCAGUAGGGAAUCUUCCGCAAUGGACGAAAGUCUGACGGAGCAACGCCGCGUGAGUGAUGAAGGUUUUCGGAUCGUAAAGCUCUGUUGUUAGGGAAGAACAAGUGCAAGAGUAACUGCUUGCACCUUGACGGUACCUAACCAGAAAGCCACGGCUAACUACGUGCCAGCAGCCGCGGUAAUACGUAGGUGGCAAGCGUUGUCCGGAAUUAUUGGGCGUAAAGGGCUCGCAGGCGGUUUCUUAAGUCUGAUGUGAAAGCCCCCGGCUCAACCGGGGAGGGUCAUUGGAAACUGGGAAACUUGAGUGCAGAAGAGGAGAGUGGAAUUCCACGUGUAGCGGUGAAAUGCGUAGAGAUGUGGAGGAACACCAGUGGCGAAGGCGACUCUCUGGUCUGUAACUGACGCUGAGGAGCGAAAGCGUGGGGAGCGAACAGGAUUAGAUACCCUGGUAGUCCACGCCGUAAACGAU